rnacentral:rRNA from 1 species
UACGAAGGGGGCUAGCGUUGCUCGGAAUUACUGGGCGUAAAGCGCACGUAGGCGGUCUUUUAAGUCGGGGGUGAAAUCCUGGAGCUCAACUCCAGAACUGCCUUCGAUACUGGAAGACUUGAGUCCGGGAGAGGAAAGUGGAAUUCCUGGUGUAGCGGUGAAAUGCGUAGAUAUCAGGAGGAACACCGGUGGUGUAAACGGCUUUCUGGACCAUAACUGACGCUGAGGCACGAAAGCGUGGGUAGCAAACAGG